rnacentral:rRNA from 1 species
GAGUUUGAUUAUGGCUCAGAUUGAACGCUGGCGGCAUGCUUUACACAUGCAAGUCGGACGGCAGCACAAAGAAGCUUGCUUCUUGGGUGGCGAGUGGCGAACGGGUGAGUAAUGCAUCGGAACGUACCGAGUAGUGGGGGAUAACUGUCCGAAAGGAUGGCUAAUACCGCAUACGCUUUGAGAAGGAAAGCGGGGGAUCUUCGGACCUCGCGCUAUUCGAGCGGCCGAUGUCUGAUUAGCUGGUUGGUGGGGUAAAGGCCUACCAAGGCGACGAUCAGUAGCGGGUCUGAGAGGAUGAUCCGCCACACUGGGACUGAGACACGGCCCAGACUCCUACGGGAGGCAGCAGUGGGGAAUUUUGGACAAUGGGCGCAAGCCUGAUCCAGCCAUGCCGCGUGUCUGAAGAAGGCCUUCGGGUNGUAAAGGACUUUUGUCAGGGAAGAAAAGCUUGAGGCUAAUACCCUUGAGUGAUGANCGUACCUAA